UCCCUAUGGGGUGCAGCAGGCGCGAAACCUCUGCAAUAGGCGAAAGCCUGACAGGGUUACUCUGAGUGAUUCCCGCUAAGGGAAUCUUUUGGCAUCUCUAAAAAUGGUGCAGAAUAAGGGGUGGGCAAGUCUGGUGUCAGCCGCCGCGGUAAUACCAGCACCCCGAGUGGUCGGGACGAUUAUUGGGCCUAAAGCAUCCGUAGCCGGUCUUGCAAGUCUUCCGUUAAAUCCAGCUGCUUAACAGAUGGGCUGCGGAGGAUACUACAAGGCUAGGAGGCGGGAGAGGCAAGCGGUACUCAGUGGGUAGGGGUAAAAUCCUCUGAUCCAUUGAAGACCACCAGUGGCGAAAGCGGCCUGCCAGAACGCGCUCGACGGUGAGGGAUGAAAGCUGGGGGAGCGAACCGGAUUAGAUACCCGGGUAGUCCCAGCCGUAAACGAUGCGGGCUAGGUGUUGGGAUGGCUACGUGCCAUUUCAGUGCCGCAGGGAAGCCAUUAAGCCCGCCGCCUGGGGAGUACGGCCGCAAGGCUGAAACUUAAAGGAAUUGGCGGGGGAGCACCACAAGGCGUGAAGGCUGCGGUUUAAUUGGAGUCAACGCCGGAA
rnacentral:rRNA from 1 species